AUUGAACGCUGGCGGCAUGCCUUACACAUGCAAGUCGAACGGUAACAGGUCUUCGGAUGCUGACGAGUGGCGAACGGGUGAGUAAUACAUCGGAACGUGCCUAGUAGUUGGGGAUAACUACUCGAAAGAGUGGCUAAUACCGCAUGAGAUCUACGGAUGAAAGCAGGGGAUCGCAAGACCUUGUGCUACUAAAGCGGCCGAUGGCAGAUUAGGUAGUUGGUGGGAUAAAAGCUUACCAAGCCGACGAUCUGUAGCUGGUCUGAGAGGACAAUCAGCCACACUGGGACUGAGACACGGCCGAGACUCCUACGGGAGGCAGCAGGGGGGAAUUUUGGACAAUGGGCGCAAGCCUGAUCCAGCAAUGCCGCGUGCAGGAUGAAGGCCUUCGGGUUGUAAACUGCUUUUGUACGGAACGAAAAGCCCUGGGUUAAUACCCUGGGGUCAUGACGGUACCGUAAGAAUAAGCACCGGCUAACUACGUGCCAGCAGCCGCCGUAA
rnacentral:rRNA from 1 species